AACGUAGGAGACAAACGUUAUCCGGAGUUACUGGGCGUAAAGGGCGUGUAGGUGGUUACGUAAGUCUGGCGUGAAAUUUCUCGGCUUAACCGAGGCAGGUCGUCGGAUACUGCGAGACUAGAGGACGGUAGAGGCGUGUGGAAUUCCGGGUGUAGUGGUGAAAUGCGUAGAUAUCAGGAGGAACACCGGUGGCGAAGGCGGCUAUCUGGACAGAAAACUGACGCUGAGGCGCGAAAGCUAGGGGAGCAAAACAGG
rnacentral:rRNA from 1 species